UAUGGGCAUCAAGUAUAAAGGUGAUUGGCUUUAGUGCAAGUGGAAGAUUGAAAGAAUAAUGCCCUACAAGCCAAUCACAUAUGGGAUGCGAUCGAAUAUUUUUUAUAAUUUAUCUUUCAAACUCAUAUAAUUGACAUUGUUAUUUAAUAAAAUAGGCUUCUCGAUUCAUUAUAUACUGCAUCUUAUUAUUAUUUUUAAGAUUAUAAUGAACCCCAC
rnacentral:lncRNA from 1 species